rnacentral:rRNA from 1 species
UACGUAGGUGGCAAGCGUUGUCCGGAAUUAUUGGGCGUAAAGCGCGCGCAGGUGGUUUCUUAAGUCUGAUGUGAAAGCCCACGGCUCAACCGUGGAGGGUCAUUGGAAACUGGGGAACUUGAGUGCAGGAGAGAAGAGUGGAAUUCCACGUGUAGCGGUGAAAUGCGUAGAGAUGUGGAGGAACACCAGUGGCGAAGGCGACUCUUUGGAACGCAACUGACGCUGAGACGCGAAAGCGUGGGGAGCAAACAGG